CCAUCAAAUGAAUUGAUUCACUGAAAAGAUUACAGCUCUUAUGAUCCAAUCCUUGCCUAAAACUUUACUUCUGAACCUUACUGAAAUGGGAACCAGGCUUUUGACAUAUAGUAUUUGGGAGCACAUUCUAGAUCCAAAUCAUAAGAGGUUAUUAAUUAUGGUUGCUGUCAUUAAAUUUCACAUUUUAUUUCAAUGGCUGCAUAGGACAAUGACAGCUACACCUUAUCAAUUAUAUCUGUCUUGGGUCAUGUGAAAGCAGACUCUGGGAAGUUGACCAUAGGACAGAAAUUUGUGUGCAGGAAAUUUAGUGGGUGUAUUCUCAGAGUUAAACCCUGUCAGGGAGCAAAUAACGCAGAGAUGGGCAAAAGGAGAAUUUGAGAUACAAUGAAUCAUGACAAAAAUCUCAGUCAACCCUGUGGGCGCUUUUGAGCUGGAAGGCCGUGCAGAGUUGUCCUUUCUGGGGACGAAGUACUCAGGCUUUGCUCACUUGAUAAACCAUGGGAUUUGAGUUCCACCCUGAAAGGGGAAGGGCUUUAGAUGAGACAGAUUUCUUCAGCUGAGGAGAAUCACUGGGAGGAAGAAUUCAACUGCAAAGUGUCAACUGCCACCACUCCUAGCAAGUGAAGAAAUGUGUCGGUCUUAGAAUGGGAGAACACAAAUUCCAUGCCACUGUGCCUGCUCCUAUCCCCCAGCUCCAAUACCAC
rnacentral:lncRNA from 1 species